ACAGAGGCUUAAACCACACCGCAAAAUUUGGAAAUAAUUUCUGCAUACUUCUAAAUCAAUAAUUCUGGUGAACAGAACCCAUAUUUUCUGGACUGGUGUCACUAUUCAACUGUGUCCUAAAUAGGGAAACAACGCAAAGAUCCCAAGUUCUUCAAGUUAAGAAAAUUCGACCCCUUUCUCCCUUCCAGACAAAUGCUAGUAUGCAGCCUAGAGCCUGGAAACAGGAAUUUAGGCUGAGCCCUGGAUGUGGUGGUGCCUGCCUGCAGACUGUGGCGCCCGCGGCCUGAGAUGACUGUAUGCUUGACUGAAGCAAAACGGAUAGGAAGUCCAAACAAGGAAUCCAUCCAAAGAGCCUGGACUUAAAUGUAGAGGCAAUGCAUAAGGUCACCAUUGGAAAUACUGGCUAUUUUACCAAGGCUUUGACUAGAGUGUCAUAUUUGAGAGAGACAUGAAUAGACUCAGAUAUGACCAAACAGUUUGAACUAAGGUUGACUAUGAAACAUAGAGUCAUAAAGUCUGUUGGAAAUGUUGGCCUGGUACCCUUCUUACAAAGUUCCCAGCAGCCUUACCAGCCCACUCAAAAGAAUCACCACAGACAUUUGAAUUACAAACAAGAAAAAAAACAUCUGAUUCCUUUUGCUCCAGGAAAAGGAAUCUCCAUCUGAGCAUGCUUCAAGCCUGACAUCUAAAAAUCUUCUCACUGGGAUACUUGCAGACCCUGUGUUUGUAAUUUGCCGUAACACUUAACCCAUAUUUUUGUUGUUUCUGUAAAAGUGCCUCUUGUUAAUUACCUGAUUGCUUACUAAGCAAAACAGAGUCUAUAUGAUGGUCAACACCACCUACAACACAAUCAAGGUCUUCAAUGAUUCUCAAAAUAACUUUAGAUUAUUAAAUACUAAAAUAACUCAAAUGCAUUAAACAGUUCUACAAAAUAAAAUGACGUUAGCUAUUUUAACUGCUGUACAAGAUGGAGCUUAUGUUCUCAUAAAAAAAGAAAGCUGUGUAUACAUUCCAGAUUAUCACAAAAAGUAUUUUUGUGCACUCAAAUUGAUGUUUUAAAUUAUCUCUCUUUUCUUUAAUGAUUGGCUAAACUCCUGGGCUAAAGAAAGAUUUUUGUCAACUAUCAAAAGACUCAUAUUUGGGCUUCUUUUUCUUUUUGUUAAUCAUGUUUUGCUCUUUUCUCCCAUGUCUCUCCUUCUAGUGCCAAGACUCCUUGAUCCUCUGUACUCAAGGAGACUCCCAUAUGUUAUCAACUCUAGUAACAGAUGCCUUCACUUUUCUUAACUCCUAUUAAAUUCUCAACUGACCAACCUUGACCAUUGGUAGGGACAUCUUUAUGCCCCAGUUCAGCAGGAAGAAGCUAUAGAAGAUGAGACAUUCAAGUGGCACC